rnacentral:rRNA from 1 species
UGGGGAAUAUUGGACAAUGGGCGCAAGCCUGAUCCAGCCAUGCCGCGUGAGUGAUGACGGCCUUAGGGUUGUAAAGCUCUUUCGCCAGGGACGAUAAUGACGGUACCUGGAUAAGAAGCCCCGGCUAACUUCGUGCCAGCAGCCGCGGUAAUACGAAGGGGGCUAGCGUUGUUCGGAAUCACUGGGCGUAAAGCGCACGUAGGCGGAUCUUUAAGUCAGGGGUGAAAUCCCGAGGCUCAACCUCGGAACUGCCUUUGAUACUGGGGAUCUCGAGUUCGGGAGAGGUGAGUGGAACUGCGAGUGUAGAGGUGAAAUUCGUAGAUAUUCGCAAGAACACCAGUGGCGAAGGCGGCUCACUGGCCCGAUACUGACACUGAGGUGCGAAAGCGUGGGGAGCAAACA